GGCUCCUCUGGCGCUCUUUCUCUCGACGUUCUAGCUCAGGCGCGGCGCCGGUAGGCCCUCUAUACAGCCAAGCUUGUUGUCUCAGGAUAUCCCGCCCCCUACUCAUUUCCCAGCGCCCUCCCCUCAGAAACCCGCUCCAUCAUCCCCCGGAAUUGCCACCCAAAGAAAAAGUAGCGCUAUCGCGAGAGGGGAAAACAAGGAAGCUCUGGGACCACCGAGGACUCCGCUCGCCAAGUGAACUGCCCGCUGCCCUUGUGCAGGGAGCAUGGCUUUCCUGAGGCGCAUCCGGACCCGGGCGCCCUUUUUCUCUGGCUGGGUCUCCAUUGGCUGAAGGCAUGGUGACGCCCCUCACUUCAAAUCCGAGGCCUAUACGCCCACUGAGAAGAUCUUCCAUUUUAUUUGCUUCUUGCUGGCUGCUGCAGCGGAGCAGUGACCCGCCUUCUGGGGUUGCAUCGAGUUUUGCCUAAUAACCUGCGUGGAUGGCGGAGUCGUCGGUCCCACAUGGUUCUCCAAGAAGGAAGAGGCCCGGCUCCAUUUGGAUCAGCCCCAUCACAGUUCAGCAUAAGCUCCUGGGGCAGGUGAAACUCACAUCUGGCUGCACAGAGCAUUUUAUUGUCAGAUGCACUUGAGCAGUCCCCUGACCUCAGCUUUCCUCCAAAGCCCGGAAGUCAGAAAGAUGCACUGAAAUAGAAUAAACGCCUGGUUAAGUGUACCAAAGGCUGCAGUGAGCCGCUAAUAUAAAUACUGGCCUUGGGGACAAGGCAUUUUACACACCCAGACUCAACAGUCACUUACUUCCCUUAUGGUUUACCUGUGCUCCCCACACAGCCUUGAAUGGUCUGGCUUUUUGUUUUGUCUCCUGCCUGAGGGAGGCCUGACAUGUUGCAAGGGUGAGGAGGUCCCAGGUGCUGCACUUGACUGGCAUUUCCUUUGCUUGUUAAAGUAAUUGCAACAUCCGCUGAUGACAAAGCCAGCAGUGCAGCAAGACAAAGCAACUGGAAUAAAGAAUUACAUCUUACUAUCUACCCCUUGGUAAAUAUGACUUUAAGACUCUUGAUUAGCCAACUUAUAGCCCCACUGUGUGCAUGAUAGACAGCUCAAAAGUGUUUCUUGCGUUUACAGAUAUUUUGUCUAUUCUCAGGACCCACCCCAAAGACACACGCGCGUGCACACACUAUGAUGAAUGAAGGAAGACAUCUUGGAGUCUUGUGAAUUUGGGGCAUUCCUUGUACUUUUUUUUUUCUUACCUCAGAAAGCCUGCUUCAGAUACGAUGUCAUUAGCUCUGAACUACAGAUUUAUUAAAGAAUAAUAAUUCAAUAUGUAUUUGCAAAUUUUCCUAAAUAUUCAGCACCCUAUAGAUAUGGUACUGUAAUUCAUGAAACAGUGCAGGGGGAGAAAAGUAGUUUUUUCUCUACUCUUCUGAGUUAUUAGCUGAAAACACUGUAAUAAAACACAAAACAAUGUUA